rnacentral:rRNA from 1 species
CCUACGGGAGGCUGCAGUGGGGAAUAUUGCACAAUGGGGGAAACCCUGAUGCAGCGACGCCGCGUGAGUGAAGAAGUAUUUCGGUACGUAAAGCUCUAUCAGCAGGGAAGAAAAUGAACGUACCUGACUAAGAAGCCCCGGCUAAAUACGGUCCAGCAGCCGGGGUAAUACGGAGGGGGCAAGCGUUUUCCGGAUUUACUGGGGGUAAAGGGAGGGUAGACGGCAGCGCAAGUCUGGAGUGAAAUCCCAUGGCUUAACCAUGGAACUGCUUUGGAAACUGUGCAGCUAGAGUGCAGGAGAGGUAAGCGGAAUUCCGAGUGUAGCGGUGAAAUGCGUAGAUAUUAGGAGGAACACCAGUGGCGAAGGCGGCUUACUGGACUGUAACUGACGUUGAGGCUCGAAAGCGUGGGGAGCAAACAGGAUUAGAUACCCUUGUAGUC